AACAACACCCUACAAAUCUCAGGCGAUUGUUCGAUCGACGAAUCAAUUCCAAAAUUGCCUGAUAAUCAAGCUAUUACGUCUCCGUUUAUCAUCUUUUUAUCUCAAAUUCGGAUUACUACAAAGAGAUAAUUGUUUUAGAAGAACUUUUGUCUUAUAAAAGGAACCGGUUGAAAAGAUGUAUGAUAAUGAAGAUACUACAUCUCUGUUUAUCAUCUCUUAAUCGGAAAAUCUGAAUUCUACAAAGAGAGGUGGCUUCAAAUAAUGUCGUCUUUGGAGAAGAUAGGACAACCCUAUAUAAUGUUAAAGAUUGCCAAAUCUCAACCGUAAGAAUCAAACCAAGGAUAACUGUGAAGUAAUAAAUUGUUAUGUUUUUAACAGUCCAUUUUGGAUCCAUAGGAUCCGCGUGUCAAUCCAAAAAAUUAGCCCAGGAUCCGCGUGCCUUUCUGAUCGAGUCGCCCAUGAUCCAUGGGUAUUUUGCUUUUAAAUUAUGAUUUUGCCCUUCAACGAUUUUUUUCAUUUACUCUUUGAUUGUAAUUAUUCCAAUGGCAUCUUUU